UACAGAGGGGGCAAGCGUUGUUCGGAAUUACUGGGCGUAAAGGGCGCGUAGGCGGCCUUCUAAGUCGAACGUGAAAUCCCCGGGCUCAACCCGGGAACUGCGUCCGAUACUGGUGGGCUUGAAUCCGGGAGAGGGAUGCGGAAUUCCAGGUGUAGCGGUGAAAUGCGUAGAUAUCUGGAGGAACACCGGUGGCGAAGGCGGCAUCCUGGACCGGUAUUGACGCUGAGGCGCGAAAGCCAGGGGAGCAAACGGG
rnacentral:rRNA from 1 species